GAGUUGAUGCAGGAGUUGAUGCAGGAGUUUGAUGGUGUGGUGGUGAUGAUGGCGGUGAUGAUGGUGAUGCUGAUAAUGAUGAUGUGGUGAUAAUGUGAUGGUGAUGAUGAUGUGGUGAUGAUGUGAUACUGGUGAUGUUGAUGCAGGAGUUGAUGCAGGAGGUGAUGCAGGAGUUGAUGCAGGAGGUGAUGCAGGAGGUGAUGCAGGAGGUGAUGCAGGAGGUGAUGCAGGAGGUGAUGCAGGAGUUGAUGCAGGAGGUGAUGCAGGAGGUGAUGCAGGAGGUGAUGCAGGAGUUGAUGAUGGUGUGGUGGUGAUGAUGGCGGUGAUGAUGGUGAUGCUGAUAAUGAUGAUGUGGUGAUAAUGUGAUGGUGAUGAUGAUGUGGUGAUGAUGUGAUACUGGUGAUGAUGAUGCAGGAGUUGAUGCAGGAGUUGAUGCAGGAGUUGAUGCAGGAGUUGAUGCAGGAGUUGAUGCAGGAGGUGAUGCAGGAGGUGAUGCAGGAGUUGAUGAUGGUGUGGUGGUGAUGAUGGCGGUGAUGAUGGUGAUGCUGAUAAUGAUGAUGUGGUGAUAAUGUGAUGGUGAUGAUGAUGUGGUGAUGAUGUGAUACUGGUGAUGAUGAUGCAGGAGUUGAUGCAGGAGUUGAUGCAGGAGGUGAUGCAGGAGGUGAUGCAGGAGGUGAUGCAGGAGUUGAUGAUGGUGUGGUGGUGAUGAUGGCGGUGAUGAUGGUGAUGCUGAUAAUGAUGAUGUGGUGAUAAUGUGAUGGUGAUGAUGAUGUGGUGAUGAUGUGAUACUGGUGAUGAUGAUGCAGGAGUUGAUGCAGGAGGUGAUGCAGGAGGUGAUGCAGGAGGUGAUGCAGGAGGUGAUGAUGGUGUGGUGGUGAUGAUGGCAGUGAUGAUGGUGAUGCUGAUAAUGAUGAUGUGGUGAUAAUGUGAUGGUGAUGAUGAUGUGGUGAUGAUGUGAUACUGGUGAUGAUAAUGAUGCUGGAGAUGAUGAUGUGGUGAUGUCAUACUAUUGAUGAUGUGAUGGUGGUGAUGAUGCUGGAGAUGAUGAUUAUGGUGAUGAUGUGAUACUGGAGAUGCUGGUGAUAAUGUGAUGAUGAUGAUGAUGUGGUGGUGAUGAUGUGAUACUGGUGAUUAUGAUGAUGAUGCUGGAGAUUAUGCUGGAGAUGAUGCUGGUGGUGGUGAUGAUGAUGAUGAUGAUGAUGAUGUGAUACUGGUGAUGUUGAUGAUGAUGAUGAUGGUGGUGAUACUGAUGAUGAUGGCCAAACAUGCUGCUUACCAGUGUUUGAGCCUGUGUGUCUGAGUCUCUGUCCGUGAUGCUGUUGAGUGUGUACAGUAUACGGUUGCGUCUCAAACCCUCGUGUUCUGCCUAACUAGAUCAUAGACAGCUGACCGAAAUGCUGCAAACAUGCUUUGAAACUUAUGAUGUCCAAAAUACUGGAGAGGUAGAUGAUUCAGUAGAUUUUCACCAUAACACUGUGAUUGAGCUCUUCACGCCUGUUGCUUGAAGGAACUUAUACCUUUAACACUGAAAUGUGAUUUAACAGCGUUAUUAACCUCAGUGGCAUCAGUGAGAGAGCAUUGUUCAUCUGGGGCGUUUCCUCAGCUUGACACUGAACGUUCUCGUAGGUUUUUAAACGAGUAUUUGUGACAUUAGGUGUGAAGGUUACUCAUCUAAUGACUGAUGACGGCUGAAGCUGCCAUUGAUUUACUCUCAGCUGCCCGUAUCAGCCUUAUUUGAUCGCCCUUCACUGACAUGAGACAUUUCUCUGACAGGAAGUGACACGCUGAGCUUCCUGUGACCUUAAGUGCUGCCUUUAGAGGCUUCUCGGCAUUGGAGAAGAAGCUUUUAUUUGUCAAGUGAAAUAAUGAGUGUCUGUAGUGUUUUGUGAUGUGAGGAUAAAAACGCUUUCACUCGCCGGAUCUUUAUAAUGAGACUCCAGCUCAGCGUUAAACACUGCGGCCCUUCAGCGGGUGAAGCACUUCUGUUUGUCUCCUGACGCAGAAGAGCAGAAAGCAUUUCUGUUGUUUAAAGUAAGUCGUUCUCACACUGGCAUGUUUAAUGAUGCUAAAGGUGUCACAAACAAACUUUCUUCCCAAAUCAUCAUUUUAGCUGAACAUUAUAUACAUGAGGCGUGAUGUGCUGAUGGUCAUUAUCUCAAAACAAACAUGCAUUAGUGUCUCUUGAAGGGUUUUUUAGUAAUAAUGAGCCACUGUCUGACAUUAUUCUGCUUAUUGACCUUAUUUUGACUUUUUAAGUCAUAAUUUUUUACAGCUGAAAUAACUGGACGUGACUGACAGUGAUAGCCAGACACAUUCAAGUUACAAAUGCACAUUCUUACAUUAAAAAUAAGGUGGACAGAUGAAUAAAUGAUUUGAUAUCAGUGAUGAUCACAUGUUCUCUGACUGUGUUUGAGAUGAUCAGGCAUGAAGGAUUGUGAUGUAAUAAUAUUGCUGAAGGAAGAUGCAUGUCUAGAUCAUUCAAUAUCAUGAUGUUCUUGUGGAAAUGUCGCAGUGUGCAGCUGUUCCUCAUAUGUAGGGUUGAACAUUAGCUUAAACGUCCGGCUUUGGGAUUUGAAGGUUCCUCGGGAAGAACUGGAGUGAUCAGAGCGUCUCACUGCAGGACCAUCUCUCUCCAGAGACAGUUAGACAGCUUCCCUGAGGUGUGAGACAGACGGAUGUGAGGGAGAAACUGACAGGGAAUGUUGAUUUCUCAGUGUUGGAGGACGUUUAGUGUGCUUCUGGAAGUCGAUGAUCGUUCAGUUUUUUUACAAAAAGUUUCAUCAGUCUGAUCAAAUAAUGAGUCUGAGACAUCACAGUUUAUUUUACUUUAGAUUUAUGUAUGUAUUUAUUUAUGUAAAUAUGUACUUUCAUGGCAAUUACAUUUAAUAUUUACUCACUCUUAGAAGAAACGGUUCUAUAUGGGUCAUGCUCUUCAUAUUUAGAACCUUAUAGUGGUUCCCGGGAUCACUUUAUGGAUUUAGUUUUAAUUGAUUCAUUUGGUUUUAAUUCAUUUUUUAUUUUAAUUAAGAUGUAUGAAUUAAAUACCUCGUAAACAUGCUUUAUCACUAGGAAAAAAACAUUAAACAUGAAAGUAUUAUGUAAUCAUAAGAUGUUUUUUCUUAUAUUAUAACUUUUUUCUUUUUUAAAAUUUAGUCAAGAACCCUAGAAUUUUAUACAGAACCUUUUUUUAAGAGUCUACAUCAUAUUAGUAUUUAACCAGCCUUUAAUUUUUGCAAAUUUAAGUUAAAACAUAACAUAUUAUAGAUAAUCCAUUGAGAAUCAAUGGAUUGAGAAUCAUUAUUCAGUGAUGGAUUUAUCUAUUAUACAAAACUAGAUAAAUCGAUUAAAAAUGUUAUAAUCAGUCAAGUAUCAAACAGAAUCAUUAUUGAACUCAAACUUCCACCUGCUUUAUAUUAGUGAGAUUUAUUUUUCAUGACAAAAAUGUUUAUUGUGAUGAAAAUAAUCCAAAAACUAUUCUUCCUCCGCUUCUUGUUUUUUUUAUUUACAUUUAUGCAUUUAACAGAAAUCCAAAUCGACUUAGAAGAGAGGAACAAAAGCAAUUUGUCAAGGAGCCAACAAUAUUUGUAAUAUAUAAUGCCAAAUUUAUUUGAUAACUUGAUUAGGAAGCAUCAUCAUCAUCAUCAUCAACUGCUUCUUCUUCCUCUUGUGAUGUAAUAUAACCUUGUUGUUGAGAAAUUGUUUCAGUUGUCUUUUUCAAAGCAUUGUUUCUGAUGGAUCAGACACUUUUUUUCAGCUCAGUCUGUGUGUGUGUGUGUGUGUGUGUGUGUGUGUGAGUGUGUGAGUGCUGCUCUUUUGUGUCCUGUGGCGAAUCGAGCACUGCGAGACUUUAAUCCUUCCCGACGCCGUCCGCUCGCGUCCUCGUCUCCAGACCCGAUCUCACCUGAUCAUGUGACACAACAGAUUGCAAACAGUUGCUCAGACGACGAUGCAGUGUGACAAUCGCCGUGGCAACGGCUUGUGUAACGGGACACAGGUGGCAGUGCGGAUCCGAGUGAAUGUCAAGACAAACACAGUGACGUACGAGUUAUUUCAGAAAACAUCAUCAUGAGAUUUAUUGAUUUGCAGUGACGAUAUCAGGUGCUGGUUCUGUUGUCAUUCGUUCCUUCAUUCCUUUAUCUGUAAAGCACUUAUUAGCUGAAAAACUCACCUAGAAACACUAGUAACGACUGUAAUUUCAUCUGUAAAGUCAUCUAAAUUAGUUUUUGUGUUGAUUGAUUAGUUAUAUAUCAGUAUUUACAUGGUUCUCCAAGAUUCUGGAUCUGCCGUCCGUUUAGCAGCUCUUUUGGUCUCUUAAGAGCCGGUCAGAUCGUCCUCUGCGGAGCGUGAAAGGGCAGCGUUCUGCUAAACCCUCACGGGCGUCUUUAACGCUGCCAGGAACAUUUGAGCGAGACGCUGGUGAGAGUCCAUGUUUGUGUGCACAGAAUCACUGACCGCGAGAAAUAAACAUGCUGAAUCUGUGUCAUUAAACAUAAAAGUGCUUCUGAACUCCAUAAUCAAACAGAAUUUAUGGUUUAUUUUUGAAUGUAGAAAUGACCUUUACAGUCAAAUGACCCAAAACACAAGCUGCAGACGUUUAUCCAUUUACUGCCGCUGGUUUCAUCUGAACGCAGCAGGAGACGCGGUUGCAGUGUGAUCGUGAUGUGAGUGUCUGACAGGCGGGAUUUUCCACUUUUUCCACAGAGUUAAUGUGUGGAAAAUGGAAAAAGGUUUCACGGGGUGUUUCAGCAAAAGGAUCUGAAUUCUGUUUAAGGACUAGAACAAACGGCUGGUAUGGACUACAACAAGCUUCUUCCCGGGUUGUGACAUCACUAACCCUAAAAUUUACAUAAACCCCGCCCCCGAGAACACACAACAAAGGGGGCGGGGCCAUGUUGGGCUGCUUUAGAGAAGAGGAAGAGUUGUUGUAGUAGAGUGUUGUUGUCAUGCCGUCAUUUUACGCCGGACUGCUUCACAAACGAGGGUCAAUUCAACACAAAAGAUUAACAUGACGGCACAUGCUAGUGGAUGAGUUGAAUCAACUCCACAGCAACUACAUAAAUUUAUCCACUAACCAUUCAGAAACGUCUAAAAGUUGUAACUUCUUCCUGAGUCUCUCCAUCAGUGUCGACUCCGGUUUGAACAAUGUAAGGCUGAACACCGUUACUGACAAUCCUCAUUUUGGCUGCGUGAGAUUCUCCAACUUUGUUGUUGUUGAGCUGUUAAAGCUCCGCCCUCUUCUGGAAAGGGGGCGGGAGCAGCAGCUCAUUUGCAUUUAAAGGGACACACACAAAAAUGGCGUGUUUUUGCUCUCACCCAAAUAGGGGCCAAAUUUGACUAGCUAUAAUAAAUGAUCUGUGGGGGAUUUUGAGCUGAAACUUCACAAACUCAUUCUGGAGACACCAGAGACUCAUAUUACAUUAUGACAGGUCCUCUUUAAACACCCUUUAUCACUAGAAAAAAAUGAAAUAACCCAUUAAAAAUGAAAGCAUUAUACAAUAAUUUUUAGACAUUUCUCCUUAUAUAGAAACUUUAUGGCAUAAAGAGUCUUUAAAAUUGAGUCAAGAGCACUAGAGUUCUAUAUAGAACGUUUUUUUAAAAGGAUGUACAAUGGAAGCCAAACUCUUUGGUUCCCAACAUUCUUCAAAAUAUCUUCUUAUGUGUUCCAUUGAUGAAAGAACAUCAUACAUGUUUGUAAAAAGUUUUUGGUUCUUGUGUUUUGUUCAGUAGAUCCAAACGGUCCUGUUUUUCCCACUGUAAAUGCCUGAUGUGUG